AGAGUUUGAUCAUGGCUCAGGACGAACGCUGGCGGCGUGCCUAACACAUGCAAGUCGAGCGGAGAUAAGCGGAUGGUAACUGAAGUUUGUCUUAGCGGCGGACGGGUGAGUAACACGUGGGCAACCUGCCUUGGAGUGGGGGAUAACACCGGGAAAUCGGUGCUAAUACCGCAUAACAUACACAAACUGCAUGGUAAGUGUAUCAAAGGAGCAAUCCGCUUUAAGAUGGGCCCGCGGCUGAUUAGCUAGUUGGUAAGGUAACGGCUUACCAAGGCGACGAUCAGUAGCCGACCUGAGAGGGUGACCGGCCACACUGGAACUGAGACACGGUCCAGACUCCUACGGGAGGCAGCAGUGGGGAAUAUUGCGCAAUGGGGGGAACCCUGACGCAGCAACGCCGCGUGGAGGAAGAAGGUCUUCGGAUUGUAAACUCCUGUCUUCUGGGACGAAGUAUGACGGUACCAGAGGAGGAAGCCACGGCUAACUACGUGCCAGCAGCCGCGGUAAUACGUAGGUGGCGAGCGUUGUCCGGAAUUACUGGGCGUAAAGGGCGCGUAGGCGGCUUUUUAAGUUAGAUGUGAAAACCCGGGGCUUAACUUCGGGCGUGCAUUUAAAACUGGAGAGCUUGAGUGCAGGAGAGGUAAGUGGAAUUCCUAGUGUAGCGGUGAAAUGCGUAGAUAUUAGGAGGAACACCAGUGGCGAAGGCGACUUACUGGACUGUAACUGACGCUGAGGCGCGAAAGCGUGGGGAGCAAACAGGAUUAGAUACCCUGGUAGUCCACGCUGUAAACGAUGGAUACUAGGUGUGGGAGGUAUCGACCCCUUCCGUGCCGCAGUUAACGCAAUAAGUAUCCCGCCUGGGGAGUACGGCCGCAAGGUUGAAACUCAAAUGAAUUGACGGA
rnacentral:rRNA from 1 species